GGAUUAAUAGUUAAUUAUUAUAAUAAGAGUUUUGUAAACUUUAGUAAGCGUGGUCUUUAGUCCU
rnacentral:tRNA from 1 species